AUUGAACGCUGGCGGCAGGUCUAACACAUGCAAGUCGAGCGGAUGAAGGGAGCUUGCUCCUGGAUUCAGCGGCGGACGGGUGAGUAAUGCCUAGGAAUCUGCCUGGUAGUGGGGGAUAACGUCCGGAAACGGGCGCUAAUACCGCAUACGUCCUGAGGGAGAAAGUGGGGGAUCUUCGGACCUCACGCUAUCAGAUGAGCCUAGGUCGGAUUAGCUAGUUGGUGGGGUAAAGGCCUACCAAGGCGACGAUCCGUAACUGGUCUGAGAGGAUGAUCAGUCACACUGGAACUGAGACACGGUCCAGACUCCUACGGGAGGCAGCAGUGGGGAAUAUUGGACAAUGGGCGAAAGCCUGAUCCAGCCAUGCCGCGUGUGUGAAGAAGGUCUUCGGAUUGUAAAGCACUUUAAGUUGGGAGGAAGGGCAGUAAGUUAAUACCUUGCUGUUUUGACGUUACCAACAGAAUAAGCACCGGCUAACUUCGU
rnacentral:rRNA from 1 species